GUCCCUCCCAGUAGGGAUUUCCCCCCCUGGUUCCUUCCCUUGUGGCUUUAAUAGUUUCCUACAGAUUAUUCUGAGGCAUAAAAAUCCCAGAGCCUCUUAAGGCACAUAUGCAACAGGAAGUCAUGUUGCUCCUGAGCAGGUGGAAUGUUCUGCUCUUGGAAGAGAAAAAAGUCAUUUCCUCUCACCAUUUGGAGGCCAAAGAACAACAAAAGGAAGAAGAAGAAUGAAACCCUAAUGAGAAAAUAGCAUUGUGCUUAACUCUGGGAAUAUGGAGACGAAUAACUUGCAGUGUUUGAGACUGCAGCUAGCUCAGAAGACAGAUGUGAGCCCAGUUAACCCUAUUGCAGUGAGGUAAGCAAUCCAAUGGAAGCUAGAACUCAGUGUUACAGGAACAAGAACGAACCAAUUGAUUCUGCCUGGCGGGGAUAUUGAAUGGAAGGUGAGAGUGACCCGGGCAGAAGUCCCAGGGAGAAGGUGAAGUAACUGGGGUGGGAUUGUAUGGGUCUUAAACUUCACUAGGAAAAAGUAACAACACAGCCACUUCACCUGUCCCUUCCUUUUUGUCACAGAAUGUGCAUUUGGUCUUACAAACGAGCACUGGACUUGCCACGUUAGAACACCUACCUGGGUCCUCAUUUCUGGCUCCUCCGCAGCCAGCUUUAAGACUUUGAACAAGUCUAUGUCUCAUGUAACUUUGUUUUCUCAUCAGUAAAGGACCUCUGAGGUCCCUACUAUGAUGUCCAUCCUUUCGAUUUCCAUUUUAUCAAAAUGUCUGCUCUUUCCCAGCCCAAUUUCUUAGUCCUGUUAACUGUGGUCACAUAAAUGAUUCAUCUUUAGAAUGCUUAACAAAGUCUUUUGGGGGCACAGCCAAUAUCUGGAAAAAUCUCUAGAAAGCUGAGUGUUUUUGUAUUCCAUAGAUGCAUAAGAACAGGUGACUGCUCAAACAAUAUAUGGGCUUUCUGCAAAUAGAGCUUCAACAUGUGAAAAGAUGUCACAUGAAAAAGAUUGAUUAGAUUCUAAACAUGGUGGAAUUAUGAAAAGAAAUAUAAACUUUUUGUUUGCCAAUGUGAACAAGGAAGAAUUUUUUUAAAUAUAAUUUUAAAUGUCUUAAGUUUCUGAAUGAUUUUUAAGAGAUUUAAAGUUUUAGCCAUCUAUUGGUACAAAUUUUUUACUGAUGGUAACUUUUAAGAAUCAGAGAGAUCAAAAGUCUUGAUCAGGACCUGCAGGUGAACAUUCAAAAGAUAAACCACAUAAAAAAGUUGGCAGCUACAAGCUCAAGUUUCUCAAUAAAACUUUAAAAAAUUUUAUUAGGAAGUGUUAGGAACAUUCUUCAAUAUUUAAUAUUAUACCUGCCACUUCAUAUUUUAUAUUCCUUAAAAUGAUUAUGCUGUGCAAACAAAUUUUAAUUUUUUCCAUCAAGCUCUGCUUAGAGGCCUCCAAACGCCUCCCUUUUACUCCAGCGUGCCCAAUAAAUAUCCUGUGAAAGAGGCUUCUUGCCAUCAUGUGACAAACAAUGGGAAGCAUUAAUCAGGGUACACACCUAUGGGUGGAACCAAUUAUUUUAUUUAGUAGUUGUCCUUUCCCCACUGACCUACAGGGACAGCCCUGUCAUAAAUCAAGUCUCUGCCUAUGCAUGGGUCUGUUUCUGAGCUCUGGUCUGCUCCAUCAUUUUUGAUCUCCCUCUGUAUCAGUAUCAUACUGUUUCCAUCAUUAUAGCUUUUUCUUAAGCCUUCAUUUCUGAUAAGGUAAAUUCCUCCACCUUUUUUUUCUUUUAGGACUGUGUCUACCCUUUGCUUUUUUGUUUGUCUUCUUAAAUGAAGAGCCUUUAUUUUUUGAGCAGUUUUAAAUUGAUUGAAAAACUGAGGGAAAAGAUGGCGAGUUCCCAUAGACUCCCCGACUCCCACUCCCACCCUCUGGUUCCCCUAUUAACACCUUGCAGUAGUGCGGUGCAUUUGUUACAGCUGACGAGCCAUUACUGAUCAAUUUUUACUAAGUAAAGUCUGUGGCUCACACUUGGGGAAACCCUUUGUGUUAUGCACUCUGUGGGUUUGGACAAAUGUACGCUACCAUGUUACAGUCAUAUAUAGAAUAGUCUCACUGCCCUAAAUCCCCUGUGCUCCACCUAUUCAUCCCUCCCUCCUUUUCCCCCAAACCCUUGGUAACCACUGAUCUUUUUACUGUCUCCAUAGUUUUGCCUUCUCCACAAUGUCAUAUGGCUGGAAUCAUAUAGCAUGUACAGUUUUCAGACUGACUUUUUUCACUUAAUAAUAUGGAUUUAAGAUCCCUCUGUGUCUUUUUGCAGCUAGACAGCUCAUUUCCACUUUUUUUUUUUUCUGAGUAAUACUCCAUUCUCUGGAUGUACACCUUUUUUUUUAUCCACUCACAUAUUGAAGGACAUUUUGGUUGCCUCCACCUUUUGACAAUUAUAAACAUUCACGUGCAGGUUUUGGGUAGAUGUGUUUUUAAUUCAUUUGGGUUAAUAUUAAGGAGUGCAAUUAUUGGAUCAUAUAGUAAGACUAUGUUUAGUUUUGGAAGAAACCACCCAACUGUCUUCCAAAGUGGUUAUAGUAGUUUGCAUUCCCACCAGCAAUGAAUGAGAGGUAUUGAUGCUCUACCUCUUCACCAGAAUUUGAUGUCAGUGUUUUGGAUCUUUGACAUUCCUACAGGUGUUCAGUGGCAUCUCAUUGCUGUAAUCGCAAUUCUGUGACAUAUGAUGUUGAAUAUUUCUUUUAUACAGUUAUUUGCCAUUUGUAUAUCUUCUUUAGUGUUUACAUCUUUAUUUUUAAGUGAGUCAGUUGUCUUCUUAUUGAUUUAUAAGACUUCUUUUUAUAUUUGGAUGCUAGUCUUUUAUCAGAUACGUGUUUUGCAAAGAUUUUUCUCCUAGUCUGUGAUUUCUUUCCACUCUCUUAAACACUUUGCUUAUAUACAUAUAUUUUUGGGGUCAUUUUGUUAAGUUUAAAAAAACACCCUAUUGGGAUUUUGAUCAGAAUUACAUUGAUUAUAUAGAUCAGUUUUGGGGGAAAUAACAUCAUUUCAAUAUUGAGCCUUCAUUUAUUUAGCCUGACAUUUAUUUAGAUUUUAUUUAAUGUCUGUCAACAAAAUUGGAAAUAUUACCUUUUAAACAAGAUUGUUUAAUAGUUUCUGAUGUCCAUAAGUGUAACUGACUUUUACAUAUUGAUCACUACCUUGCUAAACUGUCUUCUUAACUCAAACAAUUUAUCUUUAGAUUAUUUUGGGAUUUUAUUGUAUCUUCUUUGAAUAUGUUUUUUCUUCUUUUCCAGUCCUCAUAUUUUACAUUUUAUUGUCUAGUGAGCUAGUUAAAUAUUGAAUUGUGAUAGCAGGCAUCCUGAUUUUAAAGAAAAUCCUUUUAUUGUUGGCCCCUUAAAUAUGAUACACAAUUAAGUGUCUUACUAUAUGCUUUGUGUGGUGAAGAAUGUUCCUUCCUAUUCCUAAUUUGCUAGGGGCUUAAUAUGAAUAUGUGUUGAAUUUUAUUGAAUUAUUUUGGAGCUAAAGGGAAAUUUCCUUUUGGUUUUGUUGCCUACAGAAACCUCAUGCCACCCAAGAAUAAACCUGUAAGGCUGGACAUGCUCAAACUGGUUUUGUUUGGGAGGAAUAGUGAAUGGGUCAUCCAAGAAACCAAGGCCACCUAGGAUUAUAAAAGGUUUUCAUUGAUUAAUUGAAAUAAUAAAAUCUUUUAUUAUUUCCCCUCUAAGCAGGCAACCAAGUUAGCCAAUUACUGGAAAUUAUUACUUGACUUCUCUUGAGCAGUAUGUAACUCCAGGCAUACCUUGGUGUAAAAUUAAAAUCAUGAGUGUAUUUCCAGAGAGGUUUGCCUAGGAAACACUCAGUUCAGAGGCGUAGAAUAGCCAAUUCAGCAUCCCUACAUUUAGGAAGCUCAGUUAUUUUAUUUGUUCUGGCAGCAUACAUCCUUCAUGCACCACACACUGUACCUGUAUUAAAGUUGGAAGACCCAACAACAAGGAGAGGUGGUAAGGAAAGAAGCAGAAAACAGGAAGACAAUAGUAAGAUCCCCUAGUGGCAGAGCAUAGCAGCCCCACACAUUAGAGCAAAGUGGAUGCAGCCCAUCUACGAGCCAAUGGGGGUAUUGCUAUAAUCUUAGGGUCAACUUGUUUGUGUUAGAAUCCAUUAGUUUUUUUCCUGUUGUUUACUGUAUACUAAUACUCAGUGAAAUGUUUAUUUUUACUAUGAGUGCAAAAUAGGUGUUCCUUCAUAUUUAUUUUCUUGGCUAUGUUUUGUAUCAAGUUUUUACUUGAGUCCUUUGGCUACUGUAUAGAAAAUUGUUCUUAUGUAUUCUGUCUCACUAGUUGACUUGUAUUAGUUUUCAUAAAAAUUUAUUCAAAUUUCUUACAUGUGAUUUUCUUUCGGUUUCUAGUAGUCUUUGGAAGAGUAUAUUGAAAUCUAUACAGUAUUCCAUAUAGGUUAUGGGUUUUAUUUACCAGUAAAUUUGUUUUGUAGCCUAAUCAGUACUGAAACUCACUAAUAUAGAUACACUUAUUUUUAACCAUAUGAUUUUAUAUUUUUUUCAGAAUUAGUAGAAUAUUGGUGCAUAACCAUAAAUGGUGAUCUGGACUCCUUUAUGUAGUUUACUGUAGCUACAGAACCACUUAAAAAUCUCUUUAAGAUGAAUGAGAUGAAAAUUAUUUCAAUUUUCUCUUCCAUAUUUCUCCCCAAAUUUCCUUGUCAAACUUAUCUGCCGGUGAAUACAAUAUAUAUUGACCUUAUAUUGGAUGCAACCACAUGCUUUUAUCUUUACACCCUUAUGAAUUAUAUACAUUGAGCUUACACAGCAUUCUCUGGAAGUAUUUUUCUGGUCUAAGCCUGUCCCUGGAAGCCAGCCACCCAAAUUAAUGGGCACAAACAAAGCCCUGUGGUCUCCUGAACCCCUGCCCAUCAGCACCUCUACACUGGCCUACAAACCUGCAGGAGAAAGGAAACAGAAAUCUGGGCAAUGUUUGUUCUUACUGUCAAGGAAUGACUUCACUGCCAAAGGUUACGACUUUGGACAAGCUGGUGGGUGGGCUUGGAUUUAUACCACUGAAAUAUCAAACCUUGGUUACCAGGCCACAUCAUUAGUGCACAGAGAAUGCUAUAUGUACAUUUUUAAAGUAGGAAACAUUAAUGCUUUUAUGAGCUUUGUAUAAACUGCAUGGUGUUUGUCAAGGCCAAAAAGUGUGCUUUAUGUAAAACUUAGAUGAUACACUUAGGCCAAUUUUUUUUCUUUUAUUCUAAAUCUUGUGAUAAUGUUCUUUUUUUUUCUCCAGUGGUUUGGCAAAGGCUCUUACUUGGUUAAAAUCAGUGAGUUGGGAUUUGAUCAAUUCCUUCUUUUGUUUCCAAGGACUCUAAAUAGUCAAUCUAGAAGCUCACAGUUGCAAGAGCACAGAUUUAUAAUGACAUGGGAAUGUCUAGUUGGGAUUGAAGGUGCGUCGCUGGCAUUCACUCUCUGUAAGGGUGUGUAUAAGGGGUGGGCUGUGGGGACCAGAGCAACAGAUUUUUAUGUCGUCAAGACACCAGCUUUAAUGGGCCAGGUUCUCCCCAUGUUGAGUAUACUGCCAGAGUAAACUGGUUGCUGUGGAAGCCUGUAAUCUUCUUUGGGACCGUAAGAGGACCAUUUGAAGUUAUUACUUUAAAAUCAGGAAAACAGAAUACAAUUUUCACAAGGUAGCAUUGCAGGUUAAUCCCUAAACUCGCAUGAAUGGUAUUUGGAGCUUUGCUGUGGAAAAUAGGUGAACGAUGGGCUUUGUACAAUAUUUGUCUGACAGCACCACCACUGGAUGGCAGUAAAAAUCCCUGGAUUCCCCUCUAUUCUUUUUUUUCUUCGCUCAUUAGCUAGUCCUUCUUGUCCACUUGAAAAGGCCAUGCUUUUAGAAUUAACUUUUGCCAGAACACCUUUAAUGUGAAAGGCAUAUGGCAUUAGACUCAAGUUGAAAAAUGAAGAAAAAAAAGGAAAGCCAAUUAUGUGUACUGUGAUCAAAAAAGGAUAGAAAAAUCAGGAUGACCACAAAAUCAGGCAGUUUUGCCAUUAGUUAAGGUCAAUACUCAGUCACUAUAUCAUUUCAAAAUCAAAUUAGGGCCAAAGUGAUGAGAAAUUGAUGAUACAAGAGGACUUCAUACUUCCAAAUAUGAGGGAGAAUGAUGGUCUCGAAAUAAGGACACAGGAGUUGUCUUUUCACUAGUUACCUUUAGAAUUGAAUGAAAGGUUAUACAAUCCCCAGGAUAGACUUUCAAAAGAGGACUCACAGGCACUCAAAAUUCUCCAUAUCCAAAAUUGAAUUCAUUACCUUAACUUCCAAGAUUACUCAUUCAUUAAUUCAACAAAUAUAAAACACCUACAGACUGGGGCUGAGCGUUGGGAAUACGACAGUACCCAAGACAGACAAGGCUCCUGCCUCUGUAGAGCGCAGAUGCUCCCUGCCUUAUCUAGUCAUCAAACCCAGAAUCUGAAAGUCACCCUUCUCUGCCCCUGCCUGCCAUCUCCCACAGCCUAUCAAUAGCAGGUACUGUGGAGUCUGCAUCCUAAACAUCUCUGGAUUCCAUCCACAUCUCAUCUUUUUCAUUUCCACUCCUCUAGUCUAAGCCACCUUCCUAUUGCCAGUCUGCGCUAACUGGUUUUCCUCUUCUUAUUCUUUCCUCUCUCCAAUUCAUUCUCUACCUAGUAGCCAGAGCGAUUUCAGAAACAUAGUCCUGAUCAAGUCCCUCCCCUGCUUUAAGCCAUCUGGUGGCUUUCCAUUGUCUUCCCGCUAAAUUUCAACAUGUCCCCUGCUGACCUCCUCAGACACAUCUCCUACCAUGUUCCCUCUUGCUGUUUGCAGUCCAGUCACCAAACACCCCAUCACACUAAACUGCUUCCAGUUCCAUUACUGUAACUCACUCUUUCUUCCUUUCGGAUUUUCCCACCACCUGUUCUUGCUGGGAAUACUCCCCACCUUCUUCCCAUCAGUACUCUGGCCUGAGUGUUCUCAGGUGCCUACUGAACUGUCACUUUUUCAGCGACACCUUCCUUGACCCAGUUAGCUAGGUUAGGCCCUCUUCGCAUGCUUUCUCUUAGCACUCCACUACUUCCUCUCUCAUCACACUCAUCACACUUUAUGGAAAUUGCUUGUUUAAUGUCAACCUUUCCCAUGAUGCUAAUGGUCUCAACCUUGGGGAAUUAAAAAAAAGAAAGAGAAAUACUGAUGCCAGCACCCUACCAAGUGAGUCAGAAUCCCUGGGAAUGGAAGGAGGUGUGGUCAGUUUAUUUUUGUAACUUUUUAUUUUGCUGUCAGAUAUACAGAAAAGUUGUAAGAAGAAUAUAAAUAACUCCCUAUACCUUUUACCCAGAUUCACCAAUUGUUUAGAUUUUACCCUAUUUUCUUUACCUUCCUCUCUCUGAUUCUCUACCUCUCCAUGUAUAAGUUUUUCUAAAUCUUUCUGGAUUUAGUUGUACAUAUUGUGUGCUUUUACCCCUAUUUACGUCAGUGUGUGUUUCCUAAGAACAAGGACAUUCUCAUAUAAACACAGUAUGUGGUAAAAAAUCAGGAAAUUUAACAUUGAUUCAAACCUAUUAUCUAAUUCAGAGUUCAUAUUCAAGUGAUCAGGUGUCCCAAUAAUGUUCUCAUUAAAGGGAUGUUUCCCAGGAAGCAGACUCUGGGCUGGGGAUGAAUGUGCAGGAAUUUCUUUAGGGAGUGCUCUCAGGCUCAACACUUUGGAAGGGAAGAAAGAGAAGUAAGCUCUAUUAGAAGAAGAAAUGGGACUGUGAUGUAGUCUCAAAAAAAGUCUAGGCCAACCCUUUGGGGCCCCUGAAGCUGUAAUGGCCUCUUAAAGUUGUCCUGAGAUAAGAUGCGAGACCUGGAGCUUUAUACUUUGUACAUUGUACACUUUCUACAUUGACCACUUAUUGGAUCUGGGCCGCCCUGGGGAAGGAAGCACGACUCUGUGCAAGACAGACCUCUACAGCUUAGGGCAACUUCUGUCAGCCAGUAGCACCCUCAUUCGCUGGAGGAAUGAGCCCUUCAGUCAUACAAGGGUCAUGGCGGUGCAUUGCAGCUUCCACUGUGAUCUCCGUUUGAACUGCUCUGAUCCAGCUCUCUCUCCCUCUCAAUUGUGGGAAAAGUUCCACCAAGAUCCUGUUGGACCUCUUUUCUUAGGGGAAGUGGAUAAGAAGGUUAGUAGGAUAAAUUACAGCCCCAGCUGUAAGCAGUUGGAGCCCAAACAGCUGGAGACACAACAGAUACUCACCCUCUACUACCCGUUCUGGAUUGCCCAUUCUCUGCCACCAUCUUUGCUGAGCCGAUGGCUUCCCUUUGGCAUAACCCAGAUUCUCAUUGCUGAGGCCUCUGAGCUCCUGAUCUUCUUGCCCUUCUUAAGCAUUACUACUGUAUUUGUCCAUUUAUCAUCAAGAUGAGCAAGGAAAUACCCUGGUGGAUGACCAGGUUGCCAUCGCAACCUUCUCUGUCCCACUACAUAGCAGCAGCCCUCCGCCUUCUGAUCAUCAGUGUCCUCACGGCCAGCUUCCGGGUGACAGGUUCAGAAUCCCAUACAGGCAUCUGUUUUCUUGGACCACUGCUGCCAUUGUUGCACGUUGGGUUUCCUGAGUAGCAGACUGAGAUGGAGAUCAGCACAGAGGAAUUGAAUUAGGGAGUAUUCCUGGGACCAGUGCCUGCAACAGGGACAGAAAGGAAGCAAUAUUGGGUAGAAGAAGGAAAUGGAUUAUGAUGCAAUCUCAACAGACUCCCAUCUUUUUACAAUCUUGUAAACUUCUGCUGUUUAAACAUUUCAUUAAAUCUAACCACAUCAGGAACACUAGACAGUAUCAUGUGCAUUUCCAGCAUUAACUUCUUUGCUGCACUACCUCACCGAAAAACGAAACACUAGAUGAACAUCACAGAGGUGAACAUUCCCUCCCAAGGUUUCCCGAACGCCUCCGUUCUUUUCCUCUACAGGAAUACCUUUUAUUUUUCUGAAUCCAGUGGUUGCACUUGGACAGUUUUACCAAAAAAUACUGUUUUUAUUUAUGAAAUCAUUUAUUACUGGGAUAUUCUUUGGUAGGAUUUUCAGUAGGAUUUUUCUUUAAAAUGUUUCACAAAAAAGCAGUACUUUAGGAAUAUAACUACUGAAAUAGACUCUAACAAAUCCCAUAAGCUGAGACAUGUUACAAACAUUUGUACUUUCAUCCAAAUGCAUGGCCAAUAGUGAGUAAUCCAUUUUAAUAUUUGUUCAUAUCUUCAGCAAUGCUUUCUGUGAGACUUGCCCAAGAGUUUGCUAACAAAUAAUGCCUUUUAAUUUGUUGGUCUUUUGUUUUAUAAUUAUUUCAAUGAUUUUUUUUAGUAUGGCAGGAAGAACCAGAGACCCUGAAGGGUUUGUGGCUUUUGUUCUCUCAUUGUGACGUGAAAAACCUCAAAAGAAGCUUCUGAGCAAUUGUCUGUAGGUUUCAUGAGAUUUGUCAAGAACUGGAUUUGUUCCACUUAACUUAAAAUAUCUCUGAAAAACCGCUGAAGUGUGUCUUUCUGUUCAGGAUGUUUAGCUUUAAAGUAUCUUGUUAAUGACUAGACUUCAUAUUAUUACUAGUUAGUAUCUCAAGACUUAAUACGGUAGCAACUAGGGAGAAUUUUAUCAUUAGUGGCAGCGGAUGUAAAUCCAUAUUUCAAAUGGUCUUCUUGAUGAUUUUAGGUUUGGAGGGGCUACUUCUUGCUGGUCUAACUAUAUUAUUAUUUUUUUACCAUAAGGUAACUGAUGAAGAGUUUGUAUUCGGAAUAGAAAGGUUUGCUCUGCCAUUUUCUUUAGGUUUGUCUUUCUGUGGUAUUUCUUUUACCUGCUAUUUUUUUUUUUUUUUUGCAGAAAUCUUUUAAAACCAUCUUUUCCCAAUAUGAGCGCUAACUUAGUUAAAGUGAGAUAAUACCUAAAAAUCCUCUUACUGGGUACACAUUAAUGGAAAUGUCUGAAGACUUGCUAGAAGCGAUCAGUUGACAGAGCCAGCAUUCUCAUACUCUAGGCGCUUUUUUCUCCAUAGAAUAUCUUAAAUUUAUGGAGGCUUGGGAAUUGUAAUUAUAGCAAUUAGCUUACCCUGAUUGAGAUAACAUCAGUAACAAGUUUGAAAACUAUGUGCUCCUAGUAAGCCCUGUUUCCCUUUCCACAUCAUCAAUGCAGAAUUUUACCUUUGCUCCAAUUAGUUUCACCUUGUGUCAUUUGUCCCUUUACUUUUAGCCUGUCAAGAUCUUUUGAGAUCCCAGUUCUGAUAGCCAACGUGGUGGCUAUCGUUUUCCAGUUUGCAUACCCUCUGCAUCUUUAUUCAAGACAUUAAUAUAAAUUUUAAGGAGGCUAUCUCUUUAAGACAAAAGCUAAACAGAACAAUAAAACAACUUCCUUUUGUUCCUUUUCCUUGUUGGGAUGACAAUGGCAGGAUGAUUCAGUCUGUGUUCCGCACAGAGUUUCCUGCCAGGGGACUACUGCGCUUCAGAAUCAGGCAACGUGAGUCAAACGGCAUUUAGAGCUCUUUGUUCUCAAUCUCCUGCUGCAGAUCAGAGCUAGAGAUCUUCAGAAUCCCUCCCCAUGUUCCUAAUUCCUGUACACUCCCAUUUUUUUACAAUUUCUUGUGAUGCC